GGCUUUCAUAAGAGGGAAAGAUCACUCCGUCAUGCAGCAUGAGCAGUGUUCAUCUAACUAGAACUUUCAUAAGAGAAGAAGAAUCGUAGCGUAGGGUCGACAUAAACAAUCGGUUAAAAUAGUCUAAUGAGAAAGCAUCUGUUCACGUUCGUAGUUGCAAUAAGUUUUCUUUUUUUAAUUGAGAUUGGCUUGGUCUUCAGUCUACCCUAAUGAAAUCUAAAAUCUCACUCCUAGGCCUACCUCAGGCAAUACGAGUCUCCCAAAUUAGGACACGAAUUUACGUUCCCGCAAUAUGUGUUUAAAUAUAUCAAGCUUUUCAGAAUCCUUACUAACUUGUUUACCUUUUGUUUAUCUUUGUUUUUAGCAUUCCCAUCCCCUAGGGUUGGUUCGCACAUACUGCAUCAUCAGCAUAUCACACCAGAUCUUGAGGCCCUCUACCUCCUCAUCCUCUAAGUAAUAAGAAAAGCAGAGGAAAAGCUAAGAUGGAUAACAUAAGUGGUAUUCGAAAAUAAAAUGAUGAGAAUGCGGAAACUUCAGACGGUAAAAUUGCCCCAACAUAAAAUAACUUGGCUUUGCGAUUGGAACAAAAGAUACUGGAGUUACAAGGAAAGCUUGAGUAGGUCCUCAACUUAGAAAAUCUCUCCCUCACUAUGAAUGUACUAGACGCUAACCAUCAGAAUGCUUAAAACCUGGAACCUCCUCAAAAUACGCCAAACCAACGUCCAUAAAAUCCUCUCGUACCCCAUCAAUACGAAGCUCUACCUCAAAACCGAAUCCUUACCGAUACCAACUUCCCCACAACACCAUCAUCUUCCUGCCCAGUACCUACAAACCACUAACUAUCACACUCAUCACAACACACAAUAACCCAUGUUCGAUCCUUAAAACUCAACCAAUGACCACCACUACACCCAUAUCCCUGGCACUUACCAAAACAACCCCAUAUACGUGGAAAUCGUACCUCACUCCACUCAACCAAUCUUCUAUACACCAGAAUCCGCUGAGAAAGAAAUGCACAUCAAGAACAUAGUGGAGGAACACAAGAAAUGGACAAGUCGAGUUCAGGGUGUUGAAGGAGGUAAAGGGAUAUGAAGUCUGAAUUAUGAGGAUCUGUGCAUACAACUAGACAUGGAACUGUCGGAGGGUUACAAACCUCUUAAGUUUUAAAUGUUUGACAGAACAGGUGAUCAAAAGGUUUAUCUUAGAACUUACCAUGACAAGCUCGUAGGGGUCAAAAAAAAUGAAAGGAUCCGAAUGAAGCUCUUUAUGAGAAGUCUUAAUGGAGAUCCCCUGUCUUUGUACAUAAGCUAGAACCUUAAGAACUGGGCCAAUUAGGUGAUCACGACAUCCGAAUUUACGGACCAGUUUAGGUUCAAUACGGAGAAUGCACCAGAUGUCUUGUAUAUCGAGAACCUAAAGAAAAAGCUAGCCGAAACUUUUUGCGAGUAUGCUACUUGUUGGAGGUCAGAAGCAGUCAAGGUUAGACCAGCACUAGAAGAAUAACAAAUGAACAAGUUCUUUAUCAGGGAAUAGAACCCAUAGUUUUAUGAAAGGCUAAUGGUCAUUGAUAAUCACAAGUUCUCCGAUAUCAUCAAACUCGGAGAAAGGAUUGAAGAGGGUAUCAAAAACAAGAUAGUAACACAUUUCGACGCACUGCAAGCCACGAAUAAAGCAUUGCAAUCAGUUGGAAUAUCAAAGAAGAAAGAAAUGGGGACUGUAAUGGUGGCCCAAGGCCCAAAAUCUCCACUCACAUACCAAACACCUCCACCCACAUACCAACAUUUAUCUCCCAAAUAUUCUCAACCCGCCACCGCCUAUCACACUUUAAUACCCAGCCAGCAUACUAUCAUUCACCUCCAACUCGUCCAAAUUACCAUAUACCCCGACCUAACAUUGAUAACAAACUUGCUCAAACAAUACACAGCUAUUUCUGAACUGAUCGACUAGCUAUACAAAAGAUUAAAGGCCGCUAGUUAUGUCACCCAUAUUCCUGCUGUGGCAAUGGAGAACGCAUCUCAAUGGGUCAACCCAAACAAAACAUGUUCAUAUCAUUUUGGUAUGAAAGGGAACACCAUUAAUGAGUGGCGAACACUGAAAGAUAAAAUCCAGACAUUGAUCAAUAACAAGGUCAUACAGGCAAAGGAAGUUACGCCCAACGCCCGCAAAAAUCCUCUCCUAGAUCAUUAGGUUGAUGGAGUCCAUGUGAUAGAGAUGGAAGAAGAAUGGGAUCCUGAGGGGUUAACCGGGCUUAUUCGGGAAGGCGAUGACAUUAAACCUUCAAUCACACUCAAUAUUAUUAUGGUACAGAUACAGGCGUCAGUCGAAGUUAAGGAAACCGCAUCGGUUCCAUUCGAGGUAGAUGUAGCUCCACCUGUAGCCAUACAUGUUCCAUUUGAGGUAGAAGUGGCCACACCUAUCACAGUGAUAGUAGCAACCACACAUCCUUUCAAAUCCAACGCCAUACCUUGGGAUCACAUUACCAAAGCUAGGCGAAAGGGAAAAGCAAAGAUGGAAGAAUUUGAUGUCGCACAAGGAAUGACCAGAACGGAAAGAUCUAUACACUCGAAUAUUUGGGAGGAUCUAGCAAGGAGGUUUCUACUAAACAACCUGUCAUUAAAAUAGGAUCGAUAAUCUUUGGAGGAAGGUAUAGGCGAGGUAAUACUCCAUCGACUAUCAUUUAAUCAAGACCCCCACCCAGAUAUCCAUCUUGUAACUAUUCCAAAAUUCAGAGGCGCAUAAGAAUGCGUUGAUGAAGGUGUUAAAUGAGGCUUAUAGGCCUAACAAUAUCACCUGUAGAGAAAUUGACAACAUGGUAAGCCAAGCACUAGAGAGUCAUAAGAUCACCUUCCACGAGGAUAAAUUAUCGCGUGAAGGGUUAAGUCACAACCGGGCACUACAUAUCAUGGUACAAUUUUAAGACAAGUUCAUUGCCAGAGUCUUAAUAUAUGGGGGUUCAAUCCUCAACACUUUUCUGUUGACUAGUUUGAAAAGAUUGGGAAAAUAUUUCCAUGAGAUAAGGGUAGGAAGUAUGAACGUGAAAGCCUUUGAUGGGUCUCAAAGGGCCACGAUUGGGGAGAUUAAUCUUUACCUGCAGAUGGAGACAACUUGAUUCGAUGUUGACUUCCAAGUGCUUGACAUAUCAGCUACAUACAAUCUUUUGUUGUGUCGACCUUGGAUACAUACCAAUGGGGUUGUGACUUAAACACUACACCAUGCCGUGAAGUUUGAAUGGAACCAUAAGAAGGUGGUCAUUCAUGGAUAUAGAAGUAACCUAAUUUACACCAGCCAAACUAUCCCAGUUAUCGAGGAUAGAAGAAAGCUAGGAGGGGAAACAUAUCAUCACAUUGAACAUGUCAAUGCAAUCGAGAAAUACAAAUGGUAGAUUAAGAAAAUAUAACUCAUACUAGCAUGGUCUAGUAUUAACCCGGAAAAGGGCUUGGGAAGAAGCUCUAGAGCAUUACCAAGUCAGUAUAGUUGAAACGUCAUGACACAACUUUCGGGAUGGGAUAACCAUACACUUGGUGGGAGUAUAAUGACUGGUUGCCACCAUGGCGUGGUCCCUAUUACCCUCUCGAGCAACCCAUGCCACAUCUAGGUCAGACGUUUCCUCAAGCCAAUAUAGUAUGGGGAACAGUAGAGAAAGAAGCUUUAGCUGGGCUAAGGAAUUUGUUCCUAGACGAUGAGAAUGUGGAUUGCAUUGCGAUAAUUGAGGAGGAUAAGGAAGAAGGUCUAACCAUUCAGACUGUGGAGAAGGGAGAUGUUAUCAGGAAUUGGACUACCGCACCAUCCUGGGCCCGCCGAGUCCCUGGGUAUCUUGGCAUGCAGCCUAAUUUAUUUCUAUUUCCAUUUUAGGCAUUUCAAAUGUUUUUAGUAACUUUGUCUUAAAUAAGAAUUUUAUUUCAAAAUAAUUGCUCGAUUCAUCGAGUUGUACUUGUUUUGGAUAUUUUCAAAAUUUAAUCAAUGCACUGCUAUUUAUUAUCCAUAAUUAUCUUUUAAAUUUUCUUUCUAUAGCGUUAAUAGUACCUUUCUUGAUGAACCGGUAAUUGUGACAUGUAAUGAGACAACGCAACAUAAGGAUAGUGAUUCCGAAGAAGAGGAUGAAAUACUUGAGGAAGUUGUCAGAGAGGUAAACCUAAAUCCGACCGGGACGAGACUGAAGCAAUAAAUUUAGGAGACGCUAAUACCGUCAAGGAGACUCAUGUAAGAAAUUAAUUAUCACCGCCAGAGAAUGAAAAUUACAUUCGUUUCCUGAAGGAAUAUGAGGAUAUCUUUGCAUGGUCAUAUGAUGACAUGACUGAUCUAAGCACAACCAUAGUGGCUCAUAAGUUGCCUAUCAAUCUAAUGUGUCCUCCAGUAAAGUAGAAACUGAGAAAUUUCAAACUAGACAUGAGCUUGAAAAUCAAUGAGGAAGUCACUAAGCAAAUAAAAGCUAAGGUUCUCAAGGUAGCUGAGUACUCAACCUGGCUAGCCAACAUUGUACCAGUUCCGAAGAAAGAUGGGAAAGUUAAGGUGUGUGUUGACUAUCGAGAUUUAAACAGAGCAAGUCCCAAGGACGGCUUUCAACUGCCAAAUAUAAACAUCUUGAUCGACAAUUGCACCAAGCAUGAACUCCAAUCCUUUGUAGAUUGCUUCGCGGGUUAUCACCAAAUCUGGAUGGACGAAGAAGACAAAAUAGCUUUCAUUACACCAUAGGGAGUGUACUGCUACAAAAUGAUGCCACUCAGUCUAAGGAAUGUUGGGCCUACAUACAAGAGAGCCAUGACAAAAAUCUUCCAUGAUAUAAGACACAAGGAAGUAGAGGUUAUGUUGACGAUGUCAUCAUUAAAUCCAAGAGGGUCAUGGAUCACAUAGCAUACUUAAGAAAGUUCUUUGACAGGUUAAGGCUGCUGGGAUUCAUUGUCAAUCGUCGAGGAAUCGAAUUGGACCCGUCCAAAGUUAAGGCUAUCCAAGAGUUACCACCACCAAAGAGCAAAAAGGACAUGAUGAGCUCUUAGGACGCCUCAACUACAUCAGUAACUUCAUAGCACAGUCCACAGUAAUAUGUGAACCCAUCUUCAAAAUGUUGAGGAAAGAUGUUGAAACUAGUCGGAACGAGGAUUGUCAGAAGGCUUUUAAAAAAAUCAAGGAAUACUUGUCUACACCACCAAUCCUAGUCAUGCCAAAACCUGUUUGACCUUUUCUACUCUAUUUAUUCGUAUUAGAUGGAGCUUUCAGAUGUGUUUUGGGACAACAUGAUGAGAUAGGAAGAAAGGAGCAAGCAAUAUACUACUUGAGUAAGAAUUUCACACCUUAUGAAGAACAAUACUCCCUACUGGAACGCACUUGUUGUGAUUUGACCUGGAUAGCUCAGAAAUUGAGGCAUUACUUUUGUGCCUAUACCAUAUACCUCAUAUCUAGGAUGGACCAUCUGAAGUACAUCUUUCAGAAGCCCAUGUCAACCGAGAAGUUAGCUAAAUGGUAGAUAUUGUUAAGUGAGUUUGACAUUAUAUAUGUAACUCAGAAGGUAGUCAAAUGGCAUGCAUUGGCAGACCAUCUUGGUGAAAAUCCUGUGGGAAAAGAAUAUGGACCACUAAAAACAUAUUUUCCUGAUGAAGAGGUAUCAUUCAUAGGAGAGAAUAUUGCUGAAGCUUACGACGGCUGGAGAAUGUUCUUCGAUAUUUUGUAUUAGAAACAGCUCAACAUUACCCUGUAUCCGUGAAGCUUAGGUUUUCAUGUACCAGAACUAUGGAAAAAUACGAGUCUUGUAUCAUGGGGCUCGAUCUGGCCAUCGAUAUAAAUAUACACAAGCUAUUGGUAAUCAGUGAUUCAGAUCUUCUGAUACAUCAGGUUCAAGGAGAAUGCGCUAUGAAAAACACCAAGAUACUGCCAUACUUGUAUCAUGUGUAGGAACAAAGAUAGAAUUCAAACAUUUGCCCAAAACUCAAAAGAGUUCGCAGACGCACUGGACACAUUAUCAUCAAUGAUACAACAUCUAGACAAACAUUUCGUCGAUCCCAUCAUGGGGAAAUCCAUAACCAUCCAGUUUACUAUGCUCCUAUUGUGGAAGAAACGGAUGGGAAACCUUGGUUCCAUGACAUCAAAGAAUAUUUGGCGAGAGGAGGAUAUCCAGAGCAAGCAAACCGUAUUUAGAAAUGCACUCUGCGAAGGAUUUCUAAUCACUUCUUCUAAAACAGAUGGACCCUAUAUAGAAGAACUCCUGAUCUGAGAUUUUUAAGGUGUGUUGAUGCAAAGAAGGCUUCUAGAUUGCUCGAGGAGAUACAUCUCCGAACUUAUGGACCACAUAUAAAUAGUUUUAUCCUAGCCAAGAAAAUACUCAGAGCUGGAUACAUUUGGAUGGCCAUGGAAACGGAUUGCAUCUGGUACGUACAGAAAUGCCACCAGUGUCAGGUACAUGUAGACAUGAUAAAGGUAUCACCAAACAAGCUCAAUGCAACAAGUGCCCUUUGGCCUUUUGCUACUUCGGGAAUAGAUGUCAACAAACUGAUCGAGCUUGCUGCUUCAAAUGGGCACAGGUUCAUUUUAGUGGCCAUUAACUACUUCACAAAAUGGGUUGAGGCUGCAUCCUACAAAGUCAUAACUAAGAAAGUCAUCGCAGAUUUUGUAAAGGAUCAUAUUGUUUGUCGAUUCGGGGUUCUCGAGUCCAUCAUCACUGGUAAUGCCGCCAAUCUCAAUAGUGAUAGAUGAAAGCCAUAUGUAAAACCUUCAAAAUCAAGCACAAAAACUCUACAGCAUACAGGCCUCAAAUGAAUGGAGCUAUGGAAGCCUCCAACAAGAAUAUCAAGUAGAUACUAAGGAGAUUGUAGAAUAUCACAAACCAUUGCACGAGAAGUUCCCCUUUGCCAUAUUAAGGUACCGCACUACGGUCCACACAUCAACUGGGAAAUUUCUUAUUUAUUUUUUUAUGGUACCGAAGAUGUCAUUCCAGCCAAGGUAGAGAUUCAUAAUUCAAUCAAGAGAACCUCUCGGCGCAGGAUAACUGAACCUCUCGUCGCAUGAUAGCAAGGCCGCAAUUGUGCCCGAAAAGUGGCUCGCCGCUGGAGGAACGUGGCUGUCACUACUGCUCAGAUUGAUACCCCAGCUCACGGUGUUACAACGGAGUUAGAACUGCUCAUAUUUGGUAAUUUCCUCCCUCAGAAGUUCCAAUUGAAUUAGGCGAUUCAUGAAGAUGGUUGUGCUGAGAAUGUAAUACCUCCUCAGAUGA
rnacentral:lncRNA from 1 species